rnacentral:rRNA from 1 species
GACGAACGCUGGCGGCGUGCCUAAUACAUGCAAGUAGAACGCACAGUUUAUACCGUAGCUUGCUACACCAUAGACUGUGAGUUGCGAACGGGUGAGUAACGCGUAGGUAACCUGCCUGGUAGCGGGGGAUAACUAUUGGAAACGAUAGCUAAUACCGCAUAAUAUUAAUUAUUGCAUGAUAAUUAAUUGAAAGGUGCAAUUGCACCACUACCAGAUGGACCUGCGUUGUAUUAGCUAGUAGGUGAGGUAACGGCUCACCUAGGCGACGAUACAUAGCCGACCUGAGAGGGUGAUCGGCCACACUGGGACUGAGACACGGCCCAGACUCCUCCGGGAGGCAGCAGUAGGGAAUCUUCGGCAAUGGACGAAAGUCUGACCGAGCAACGCCGCGUGAGUGAAGAAGGUUUUCGGAUCGUAAAGCUCUGUUGUAAGAGAAGAACGGGUGUGAGAGUGGAAAGUUCACACUGUGACGGUAUCUUACCAGAAAGGGACGGCUAACUACGUG